rnacentral:rRNA from 1 species
AGAGUUUGAUCAUGGCUCAGGAUGAACGCUGGCGGCGUGCCUAAUACAUGCAAGUCGAGCGGUAAGGCUCCUUCGGGAGUACACGAGCGGCGGACGGCUGAGUAACACGUAGGAACGUACCCCAAACUGAGGGAUAAGCACCAGAAAUGGUGUCUAAUACCGCAUGUGAUCUCCGGAUUAAAGCUACGGCGGUUUGGGAACGGCCUGCGCACGAUUAGAUAGUUGGUGAGGUAAUGGCUCACCAAGUCGACGAUCGUUAGCUGGUCUGAGAGGAUGAUCAGCCAGACUGGGACUGAGAACGGCCCAGACUCCUACGGGAGGCAGCAGUAGGGAAUUUUCCACAAUGGACGAAAGUCUGAUGGAGCAACGCCGCGUGCAGGAUGAAUGCCUUCGGGUUGUAAACUGCUUUUAUCUGUGACGAAUAUGACGGUAGCAGAUGAAUAAGGAUCGGCUAACUCCGUGCCAGCAGCCGCGGUCAUACGGAGGAUCCAAGCGUUAUCCGGAAUUACUGGGCGUAAAGAGUUGCGUAGGUGGCACUGUGUGUCUGUAGUGAAAGCGUGUGGCUCAACCAUAUAUACAUUACAGAAACUGCAGAGCUAGAGGGCGAGAGAGGUUACUAGAAUUCCUAGUGUAGGAGUGAAAUCCGUAGAUAUUAGGAGGAAUACCGAUGGCGUAGGCAGGUAACUGGCUCGUCCCUGACACUAAGGCACGAAAGCGUGGGGAGCAAACGGGAUUAGAUACCCCGGUAGU